rnacentral:rRNA from 1 species
GCUUAGCCCUAAACAUAGAUGGUUAAACACACAAAACCAUUCGCCAGAGAACUACAAGCGAAAAGCUCGAAACUCAAAGGACUUGGCGGUGCUCCAUAUCACCCUAGAGGAGCCUGUCCUAUAAUCGAUACUCCACGCUCUACCCCACCAUCCUUUGCAGUUCAGCCUAUAUACCGCCGUCGUCAGCUUACCUUGUGAAAGAAACAAAGUAGGCAAAAAAGUUUACAACUAACACGUCAGGUCAAGGUGUAGCACAUAAGAUGGAAGAGAUGGGCUACAUUUUCUACCACAGAAAAAUACGAAAGGUAUAAUGAAACAUACACCCAAAGGUGGAUUUAGAAGUAAGACAAAUAAGAGACUUUGUCUUAAACUUGCUCUGGAGCGCGC